rnacentral:lncRNA from 1 species
AUGGCUGCUUCCGAAUUCCGAUCCGGCCGUCGUGCCGCCGCGCUCGUCGUCGUGAUCUGCGCCGUCCUGUUGCUGUCCUCCGCCGUGGAGCGGGCGGCGGCGCAGGUGCCCUGCAGCAAGUGCGACCACGCGUGCAAGAAGUCGUGCAAGGGCUACGGCCGCGACUCGUCGUGCAGCCUCCCCUGCGGCGACCCAUCCAACAAGGCCGGCUGCGAGAGCUGCCUGGACGCCUACUACCCGAAGUGCCUCAACUACUGUGGCCAGUCCUGCCGUCGGGCGGCGGCGCAGGUGCCCUGCAGCCAGUGCGACCAGGCGUGCAAGGAAUCGUGCAAGGGCUACGGGCGCGACUCGUCGUCGUGCAGCGCCCCCUGCGGCGACCCCUCCAACAAGGACGGAUGCGAGAGCUGCCUGCAGGCGUACUACUCCAAAUGCGUCAACUACUGUGGCCCGUCCUGCCAUGUCACCUGCACCAGCGGCUGAAAAGCCCAGC